rnacentral:rRNA from 1 species
GAUCAUGACUCAGGAUGAACGCUGGCGGCGUGCUUAACACAUGCAAGUCGAACGAAGCACUUUAUUACAAUUUCUUCGGAAUGACGAUUUAGUGACUGAGUGGCGGACGGGUGAGUAACGCGUGGGUAACCUGCCUUAUACAGGGGGAUAACAGUUAGAAAUGACUGCUAAUACCGCAUAAGCGCACAGGAUUGCAUGAUCUGGUGUGAAAAACUCCGGUGGUAUAAGAUGGACCCG